CCUACGGGUGGCUGCAGUGGGGAAUAUUGGACAAUGGGCGAAAGCCUGAUCCAGCCAUGCCGCGUGUGUGAAGAAGGCCUUCGGGUUGUAAAGCACUUUCAGUGGGGAAGAAAGCCUUGGGGCUAAUACCCUCGAGGAAGGACAUCACCCACAGAAGAAGCACCGGCUAACUCCGUGCCAGCAGCCGCGGUAAUACGGAGGGUGCGAGCGUUAAUCGGAAUUACUGGGCGUAAAGCGCGCGUAGGCGGUCUGAUAAGCCGGUUGUGAAAGCCCCGGGCUCAACCUGGGAACGGCAUCCGGAACUGUCAGGCUAGAGUGCAGGAGAGGAAGGUAGAAUUCCCGGUGUAGCGGUGAAAUGCGUAGAGAUCGGGAGGAAUACCAGUGGCGAAGGCGGUCUUCUGGACUGACACUGACGCUGAGGUGCGAAAGCGUGGGUAGCAAACAGGAUUAGAUACCCCGGUAGUC
rnacentral:rRNA from 1 species